UUAGUGCGCGGUAAGCUAGGGUGUGAGUUUGCAGCACGCUAGCUGCUCUGCACUAACU
rnacentral:pre_miRNA from 1 species